AAAACAGAACUUCUAGUUUUUCCUCCCUCAAGUGCUGCUACUCCUGUGUCUGUCUCCAUCCAAGUCAACGGCGCUACUAUCACCUCUACCUCCCAGGCUCGCUGCCUAGGGGUUCUUUUUGAUUCUGAUCUCUCUUUUACUCCCCAUGUUCAAUCGAUAGCCAAAUCCUGUCGCUUUCAACUCAAGAACAUAGUGCGCAUCCGCCCAUAUCUAACGACGGACGCGGCUAAGGUACUGGUUCAUGCUGUUGUUGUUGUUCUCUCUCGCCUUGACUACUGCAAUCCCC